AUGUGGCAAUGGAUCCGUGGCCGUCUUCCCUCUGGCGUGGAGGUGAUUAAGCGUCAUGGUCCGGGUGACGGUCUAUGCCCCCUUUGCGGGACGGAAGAAACUUCGAAUCACAUCUUCUUCUUGUGCGUGUCCGCCCAGUUCCUUUGGGGUUGCCUCCGCGAGGUGAUCGGUGGGGUUUGGUGCAACACCAACUUCCCUGACCUCCUUGCCAAGAUCCAGGCCACCCCCAUAUCGGGCCGCCACAUUAGGUGGCUGCUCAUUGGGGUUCUCGCCUGGACGAUCUGGACUGUGCGUAAUAAGCUUGUCAUUCAGCGGGUUCCUCUCCGACGCGCUACUGAUGCCGUGUUCAAAUUAUGUGGUUAUUUGCAGCUCUGGCGGCCGCUUAGCCGUCACCAGGACCGAGACGCCAUCACCACCAUCAUCUCCGACCUUCGCGCGAUGGCCCUCCGCUUGGCGCCGCCGCUCCCUCCGCCACCGCCCGAGCCAGAUUAG
rnacentral:rRNA from 1 species